rnacentral:rRNA from 1 species
AUGAACGCUAGCUACAGGCUUAACACAUGCAAGUCGAGGGGCAGCAUGAACUUAGCUUGCUAAGUUUGAUGGCGACCGGCGCACGGGUGAGUAACACGUAUCCAACCUGCCGAUGACUCGGGGAUAGCCUUUCGAAAGAAAGAUUAAUACCCGAUGGCAUAGUUCUUCCGCAUGGUAGAACUAUUAAAGAAUUUCGGUCAUCGAUGGGGAUGCGUUCCAUUAGGUUGUUGGCGGGGUAACGGCCCACCAAGCCUUCGAUGGAUAGGGGUUCUGAGAGGAAGGUCCCCCACAUUGGAACUGAGACACGGUCCAAACUCCUACGGGAGGCAGCAGUGAGGAAUAUUGGUCAAUGGACGAGAGUCUGAACCAGCCAAGUAGCGUGAAGGAUGACUGCCCUAUGGGUUGUAAACUUCUUUUAUACGGGAAUAAAGUGAGGCACGUGUGCCUUUUUGUAUGUACCGUAUGAAUAAGGAUCGGCUAACUCCGUGCCAGCAGCCGCGGUAAUACGGAGGAUCCGAGCGUUAUCCGGAUUUAUUGGGUUUAAAGGGAGCGUAGGCGGACGCUUAAGUCAGUUGUGAAAGUUUGCGGCUCAACCGUAAAAUUGCAGUUGAUACUGGGUGUCUUGAGUACAGUAGAGGCAGGCGGAAUUCGUGGUGUAGCGGUGAAAUGCUUAGAUAUCACGAAGAACUCCGAUUGCGAAGGCAGCUUGCUGGACUGUAACUGACGCUGAUGCUCGAAAGUGUGGGUAUCAAACAGGAUUAGAUACCCUGGUAGUCCACACAGUAAACGAUGAAUACUCGCUGUUUGCGAUAUACAGUAAGCGGCCAAGCGAAAGCGUUAAGUAUUCCACCUGGGGAGUACGCCGGCAACGGUGAAACUCAAAGGAAUUGACGGGGGCCCGCACAAGCAGUGGAGUAUGUGGUUUAAUUCGACGCAACGCGAAGAACCUUACCAAGUCUUGACAUCCCUUGACGAUGCUGGAAACAGUAUUUCUCUUCGGAGCAAGGAGACAGGUGGUGCAUGGUUGUCGUCAGCUCGUGUCGUGAGAUGUUGGGUUAAGUCCCGCAACGAGCGCAACCCCUGUCCUUAGUUGCCAGCAUGUAGAGAUGGGAACUCUAAGGAGACUGCCGUAGAUAAUACGGAGGAAGGUGGGGAUGACGUCAAAUCAGCACGGCCCUUACGUCCGGGGCUACACACGUGUUACAAUGGGGGGUACAGAAGGCAGCUACACGGCGACGUGAUGCUAAUCCCGAAAGCCUCUCUCAGUUCGGAUUGGAGUCUGCAACCCGACUCCAUGAAGCUGGAUUCGCUAGUAAUCGCGCAUCAGCCACGGCGCGGUGAAUACGUUCCCGGGCCUUGUACACACCGCCCGUCACACCAUGAGAGUUGGGGAUACCCGAAGCCUGUGAGCCAACAGUUAAAUGAGGCAGCAGUCGAAGGUAGAAUCAAUGAUUGGGGUG